rnacentral:rRNA from 1 species
CCCUUAGAUGUCCUGGGCCGCACGCGCGCUACACUGACAUGUUCAACAAGCCUCCUAGUUCGACAGGAUUUGGGAAAUCUUUGAACGCAUGUCGUGAUAGGGAUAGAUCAUUGCAAUUAUUGAUCUUGACCGAGGAAUUCCUAGUAAACGCGAGUCAUCAGCUCGCAUUGAUUACGUCCCUGCCCUUUGUACACACCGCCCGUCGCACCUACCGAUUGAAUGUUUCGGUGAAGAUUCCGGAUAGGACUUUUUUGAUUUAUUUCAAUUUUGUCUUAAAAGCUAUCUAAACCUCAACAUUUAGAGGAAGGUGAAGUCGUAACA